rnacentral:rRNA from 1 species
GAUGAACGCUGGCGGCGUACCUAAUACAUGCAAGUCGAGCGAACAGACGAGGAGCUUGCUCCUCUGACGUUAGCGGCGGACGGGUGAGUAACACGUGGAUAACCUACCUAUAAGACUGGGAUAACUUCGGGAAACCGGAGCUAAUACCGGAUAAUAUAUUGCACCGCAUGGUUCCAUAGUGAAAGACGGUUUUGCUGUCACUUAUAGCUGGAUCCGCGCCGCAUUAGCUAGUUGGUAAGGUAACGGCUUACCAAGGCGACGAUGCGUAGCCGACCUGAGAGGGUGAUCGGCCACACUGGAACUGAGACACGGUCCAGACUCCUACGGGAGGCAGCAGUAGGGAAUCUUCCGCAAUGGGCGAGAGCCUGACGUAGCAACGCCGCGGGAGGGAUGAAGGUCUUCUGAUCGUAAAACGCUGUUAUUAGGGAAGUACAAAUGUGUAAGUAACUAUGCACGUCUUGACGGUACCUAAUCAGAAAGCCACGGCUAACUACGUG